GAUUUGAAGAUUUCAAUUUGCUGUUGAUGAAGAUUUCGAUCGAUUCAGAAUUGAGAUUCAUAAUCGAUGAUUUUUGGCAAUGGAGCUUGAUAAGGCUUGGCAGUGACUCAUUGAGUCAGGAAGUCCUAUAGAUGUUGUCUCUUCUCUAAGAAGCUAUGAGGAUUCAAGAAGACUACGGAUUGCUGUUAUCCAUGGACUGGCACGAAUGGCUGCGAUCAUGGCCUCAACUUACAAGGCAUAUUUGGGUGUAGGCCUUGGCCCAUUAUCGGUAGGAGUGUGAUAAGCACAUGUUGUUGUCUACUUAAAAUAAACUCGAGCUUUCCGUGGAGUUCUGCAUGCAUUUCAUUACAGCCUAUAUUAUGUUUUACAGUUUUUGACAAAGUUUAGGAUACCACAUCCAGGAAGAGUUGGAGGGAGCUUUUUUAUUGACCUUGCAAUGCCUUUAAUGUUGAGUUGGGUCCUCGGCGGUAAUGGGUCAUUUGGUGCCUUUCACCUAACUUAUAGUCAUAGAUUAUGCUAAAUGAGUUUAGUUGCUUGAUUAAAAUAAUAGAAUAAUUAAAUGAUUUUUUUUCUUCUCCAACAUGGUUUUGCAGGUAAUGAUCAGGAAUCUUGGUAAUUUCCUUUGAUGCAAGUUCAGGGGAUUCACAUCUUUUUUGUCUACAAAAUCAUGUGAGUUUUUGAAGUGCCAUCAUUGUGAAAUAAAAUUACUUUUUUAUAUAAUUCAGUCCCUCAAAUGUCUAUUAU